GACGGAGGGGGCUAGCGUUGUUCGGAAUGACUGGGUGUAAAGGGCGCGUAGGCGGUGUUUUAAGUGAGGCGUGAAAGCCCUGGGCUCAACCCAGGAGGUGCGUUUCAUACUGGAAUACUAGAGUGCGAGAGAGGAAAGUGGAAUUCCUAGUGUAGAGGUGAAAUUCGUAGAUAUUAGGAAGAACACCAGAGGCGAAGGCGACUUUCUGGCUCGCAACUGACGCUGAGGCGCGAAAGCGUGGGGAGCAAACAGG
rnacentral:rRNA from 1 species